GAUGAACGCUAGCGGCAGGCUUAACACAUGCAAGUCGAGGGGCAGCACAGUGUAGCAAUACAUGGGUGGCGACCGGCGCACGGGUGCGUAACGCGUAUCCAACCUUCCCGUUACUCAGGGAUAGCCUUCCGAAAGGGAGAUUAAUACCUGAUGGUGUUCAAAUUCCGCAUGUUAUUUGAACUAAAGAUUUAUCGGUAACGGAUGGGGAUGCGUGACAUUAGGUAGAUGGCGGGGUAACGGCCCACCAUGCCCACGAUGUCUAGGGGUUCUGAGAGGAAGGUCCCCCACACUGGAACUGAGACACGGUCCAGACUCCUACGGGAGGCAGCAGUGAGGAAUAUUGGUCAAUGGUCGGAAGACUGAACCAGCCAUGCCGCGUGAAGGUGACGGCCCUAUGGGUCUUAAACUUCUUUUGUAAGGGAGCAAUAAGGUCUACGUGUAGAUUGAUGAGAGUACCUUACGAAUAAGCAUCGGCUAACUCCGUG
rnacentral:rRNA from 1 species